CUAUAUAUUCCCUAUAAUAUAACCUACUCUUGUUGCCUUCUUGAAUGACCCCUAAUUCUAUUUGUUCAAGCAUAUGUUCCUGUUAUUGUUAGGUGUUAGAGAUUUUGUUUGUUAAAGUCUUGUCAUUUGUUAAGUUAGUUUACUUUUGUCAUCCUUAAAAUUCAUUUGUUAUUUUAGUCUAAUAGUUGGGCUUGGUUGCAUCUUGGUUUUGAGUUUUUUAAAUAACUUUUAUUUCAAUUAAGUUGUAUUUCAUUUGUUAUGUUUGAUUCGAAUGCUAAUUCUUGCCUCUUCCGUUUUGUUGUAUGAACCCUCACCGAGUCUAUGAUGGAUUUCUUUCCUUUGCAUUCUCGAAUCGAGCCAUAAAGGCUCAAAUUUCUUUUCGUCGUUGGGUCAGCCAAAUUAUCGGGUGUACGAGGAAGAAUGCAAAAAUACAGAGGGUUAGAAAAUUGAUUUUCAGGUCCAAAGAAGGCCCAAAUGAGGCUGUAUGCAUGAUGUAUACAAAGGUAUACACUAGAAUACAUGGCAAAAAUAGUGAUACAUGUUUAAAAAAUGUCGAAAUACGAAGCCCAAAUUCAAAAUACAGAUUGCAAUGUUGAUGUACUGGGAAUGAAAAGAGUCACAAGUUGAAGGGCAAUUUUGCAGCCCGUAUAUAUGAUGUGCAGAUUUAAACACAACAGAACCAGGCGAAAACUGAGCCCAAAGGCCCAAUGAAAUGAAUAGCAACAGAUUUUGACAAUUUGGGCCUAAACCCAUGAAUUUCAGUUGUGUUGCUGAUGGACAGGGCCCAAAGUUCAAGCAAUAUCAAUCGUAAAAGAUUGAAACUUAAAAAUUAGGGCAGGUGGGCCUAAAAGCCCAAUUUUGGCUGAACUUGGACAAGGAGUCCAAGUUCAAACUUCUCUCUUUGCUUUUAUUUAUUUGUUGUAUUGACUAACA
rnacentral:lncRNA from 1 species